rnacentral:rRNA from 1 species
UACAGAGGUGGCAAGCGUUGUUCGGAAUUACUGGGCGUAAAGGGCGCGUAGGCGGCCAUCUAAGUCAGACGUGAAAUCCCCCGGCUUAACCUGGGAACUGCGUCUGAUACUGGACGGCUGGAGUUUGGGAGAGGGAUGUAGAAUUCCAGGUGUAGCGGUGAAAUGCGUAGAUAUCUGGAGGAAUACCGGUGGCGAAGGCGGCAUCCUGGACCAAUACUGGACGCUGAGGCGCGAAAGCUAGGGGAGCAAACGGG